CUUGGUACCCCCUGCCCCCACUCCCACUGGAAAGCCCCCAGUCCCAUCUGGGGCCCGGAGCAGGUCUGGCACAGCCCCACCCUGUCCUUGUGGCCCUGGCUCUGGGUCUGGCAAGAACUGACUCUCUGCCCCUCCCCUGCAGCCCAGUAGGGCCCUUUGCCCUCUUCUUCCUGCCAAGUCAGGGGGCCCUGGCUGUUCCCCUGCCCCCUGCCCAGGCUCUCACAAGUCCGGGCAGACCCUGAGGCCUCCCCCCACCCCAAGCUGGGAUCAGGACCUUGGACAGAAAAGAGAUGGUCCCGUAGAGAGCCUCUUUGGGGCUCUUCCUCCCAGUCACAGCAAUUGAGAGACCAAACAGAGUGGCUGUGGAGUCCCAGCUGGGUGGCCCUAGUAAAGCUACCUCCCCUCUCUGGGCCUCAGUUUCCUCAUCUGUGAGGCAGUUAUCCCCAGCUGCUUUCCAGCGUUCAUCUUGACAUUCUCAGACCAUUUGCAUGUGAAACCCCAGCACUACAGGGUCGGACUGUUAGAAUUCCAGCUUAGGAGCCUUUGGGGAGGGCGGUCCCUGCAGCCCCUAGACCCCUACCCCUCCCACUCCUGCUGGGUAAGAGGUUGGUUGGCCCAGGCCUCCCCAGGUCACCAUCUUUACAAGUUAAUGAUCACAGGCCUUAUCAGAGCCUUUUACCGUUUAUAAAUUUAUAAAACAAAAGAAAUAAUAAAGCUCAUGGGUAAUUAGUAACCAGGUGAGCUUUGCUGAGGAGAGGGGAGGCAGCGGGCUCAGACCCACCCAGUUCUCCGGGAGGGGAGUUGGGGAGCCAGGCAGUGGAUGGGGGUGCACAAUGGAGAGACCUCUCAUGGUGUGUGCCAGUGAGGUUGGGGGGGGGCCUGAGGCUGUGUAGGAAAGGGGAACAGGUCCUGCCCCGAGACUCCAUCUCCCUCAGAACUGCCAUAAACCACAUCCUCCAAAGGAACGAAGCUCCAACAUUAAAACUGAGAACUAUCUUGAGCUAGCAGUUUCGCACGGUGUCCGGCAGGUGUCGCUGUGGACCGCUCAAAAAAUCCUCCGCAGCCCGAAUCCUCGCGCAAUGGGGACGGUAGGUAAUUCAGUACGUGGUGGCUGUGAGCUUUAUUGCUAUGCUUUCCUGGGCGAGCAGCGAUUUGCAAAGGCAGAGUUCAGAGAGAGCACAAGUGGAAGGAAUGGUGGAGGGAGAGGAAGAAGCAGGCUCCGCACCGAGCCGGGAGCCCAUGCGGAACUCGAACUCAUUCCCAGGACUCUGAUACUAGGACCUGGGCCGAAGAUAGAGGCAUAACGGACAGAGCCACCCAGGCACCCUGAGUUCUUUUCUCUACCUGGACGCUUCCACCUGUUCGCCUGUGCCGAAGAUCCUCCAUGGUCUCCUCCUGACCCCAACUAUUGUCUGGCAGCCACCGGAACCUUCACCUCUCUCCCCGGAGCAGGACCAGAAGCAGCAGGAAGCCCUAGACUAUGGGUUAGAAACACGGGUAUGUCGGGGUAAACCACAGUGAGCCGGAUGGAAAGAUGGUCUCCAAAGAGAUAUCUGCAGUUACCUUGAAAUAGUGGGAUUUCUGGAACUCACAGCACUGAAAAACUUUAGGAUUCCAAGGCCCCGCCCUCAUUGUUCCAGAAUCAGACUGGCAGAAAUUGACAGAGAAUCUCUUCUUUGAACAAGACCUUGGGUAGUUUUCUCAGGAUCAAGCAAAUUGCAGAAAGGAUCUCACACAGCUCCUUGGAUGUGUUCCAUGUGGCUUCCGUGCAUUAAGAAGCAAAAGCCAGAGCCCAGGGAGACUUCCUAUAAAACAAGGACCAGGAAUCAAAGAGAACAGAUAAAUAUGUUAGCCUGGACUAAAUGGGUCAGUCCCAGAGCGAGGCUGUGCUGCUGCCCACAGACCGAACUUGCCAGCUCUGUUAUGUACGAGCCGCGUGCCUGGCAAAUCCCGGAAGCAUUUGCUGUCCUCACCUGGUGGUUGUAUCGAUCCUUCAGUGAGAUACACCGCUGUUGUGUCUCUGCAGCAAGCAGACAUCGAUGGAAUGUUAGUUUUCAGUCUAAUAUAAAAAUACCUGGUGUUUUGGGGCACCUGGGUGUCUCAGUGGGUUAAAGCCUCUGCCUUCAGCUCAGUCAUGAUCCCAGGGUCCUGGGA